AGCGAACGCUGGCGGCAGGCUUAACACAUGCAAGUCGAACGCCCCGCAAGGGGAGUGGCAGACGGGUGAGUAACACGUGGGAACGUACCCUUUGGUUCGGAAUAACUUGGGGAAACUCAAGCUAAUACCGGAUAAGCCCUUACGGGGAAAGGUUUACUGCCGAAGGAUCGGCCCGCGUCUGAUUAGCUAGUUGGUGAGGUAACGGCGCACCAAGGCGACGAUCAGUAGCUGGUCUGAGAGGAUGAUCAGCCACACUGGGACUGAGACACGGCCCAGACUCCUACGGGAGGCAGCAGUGGGGAAUAUUGGACAAUGGGGGCAACCCUGAUCCAGCCAUGCCGCGUGAGUGAUGAAGGCCUUAGGGUUGUAAAGCUCUUUUACCCGGGACGAUAAUGACUGUACCGGGAGAAUAAGCCCCGGCUAACUUCGUGCCAGCCGCCGCCGUAA
rnacentral:rRNA from 1 species